GAUGAACGCUGGCGGCGUGCCUAAUACAUGCAUGUCGAGCGAACAGACGAGGAGCUUGCUCCUCUGACGUUAGCGGCGGACGGGUGAGUAACACGUGGAUAACCUACCUAUAAGACUGGGAUAACUUCGGGAAACCGGAGCUAAUACCGGAUAAUAUAUUGAACCGCAUGGUUCAAUAGUGAAAGACGGUUUUGCUGUCACUUAUAGAUGGAUCCGCGCCGCAUUAGCUAGUUGGUAAGGUAACGGCUUACCAAGGCAACGAUGCGUAGCCGACCUGAGAGCGUGAUCGGCCACACUGGAACUUAGACACGGUCCAGACUCCUACGGGAGGCAGCAGUAGGGAAUCUUCCGCAAUGGGCGAAAGCCUGACGGAGCAACGCCGCGUGAGUGAUGAAGGUCUUCGGAUCGUAAAACUCUGUUAUUAGGGAAGAACAAAUGUGUAAGUAACUAUGCACGUCUUGACGGUACCUAAUCAGAAAGCCACGGCUAACUACGUG
rnacentral:rRNA from 1 species